UCUCUGCGUUAAGCAUCUAGCGAGAGGUCGUUUGAGGCGCGCGGGCUCCGCAAUAGCAAAAGCGACGCGACGGAGGGGCUUCCCUCCCUCUACUCCCCAGCUAAGAGCAGGGAAGUGUCCCGUUGAGCAGGCUCGCCCGUGGCAGCUGCCGGCCCGUAGUUGCAAAUGGCUUCCCUAUACAUUACCUAAAAGACAUAUCGCCGUAAAAAAGCGGGCAAGCGCAGGAGAUCAGUAGGCAGGGCGCAAAACUUCCAACUGAUUAGAAAAUGGAAACCAACAGUUAACCUGAGGUGUGUACGUCAGAGACAGCCGUUGAACAUGUGCAGAUGACAGCUUCAGUGAUAAAGAGUUCAGCACUGGGUGAUGUGCAUCGACUGAAGAGAUCCCCCCUCUGGCGUGUGAGACAGCGCUGGAGCUGUGACAAACACAAGGCCCACAUUCCUAGAACUAGCCAAGUCUGUAAAAGAAUGGAAGCUGGAAAGUCCAUCAAGACAUGAAAGCAAUAGAUUACUAAAAUGGAUUUACUCGGGGAUGUCAUCAGCAGUCGGAGUGGUUCUGACCCGCUCUGUGCAUGCAGCUGAGUGUCUCAGAGGAAGAGCUAAUAUAUGCUAACAAUACAUUAGGAUUGAGUACCACUCAACAGCUCCAACAGAAAAGACCGCUGCUCUCACUGAAGAUUUUAGUGCCAACAGAAGGUAGAUAAUUACCACCUUGAUAUGCAACUUCCAUCUUAACAGUGUUUAGUCUAAUACAUCAUUUACUUGUAUUACUAAGACAGCAGUAGCUAUUGCUAACAUAUGAUAAUUUAAGGUUGGAAUCACUUAGCUCACAGACUGUGAAAAACAAAUUACUCUUUGAAGAAAUUCUAAUCAUACAUUCCACCCAUGAGAAGCCCCCCUCUCCAUAUUUGAAAGAUUAUGCCAUCUUUAAGCCAUCGUGAGAUUAUUAGCAAUAGCAGAGCUAGCUAUAUGAAAGCACAGUAGUUUAUAUAAAUAGCUGAGGGUGGCCAAUGUAGCUUUAUUUUGGUUUUUGCAGGAGUCCACAAGCUCAAACUACCACUCCAUGUGGCCUCUACAUACAGAGUGCAAUUAUGGCUGGUUUUAUGCUAGCCAACAUGACCUGAACAUUAGUUAAGUGUGAAAAAUUCAGCAAAUACAUCCAUAUAUUUAUUUCAGAUAGGAUCAUAUGGGUCUGUUUUGCCUGUCUUUGCAACCCUUUUGUUUAUUUAGUCAGCAAUAGUUUUCAUUUUUGGAAAACAUUUAAAAGCAAAUAAAGCUGUCAGGGAACUGACAUCAGAGACACGGGAGAAGGAGAGGGUCUCAGAUUCUGCAGGUGAAG